UACGAACCGUACAAACGUUAUUCGGAAUCACUGGGCUUAAAGGGUGCGUAGGCGGCCAUGUAAGUGAGGUGUGAAAUCCCUCGGCUCAACCGAGGAACUGCACUUCAUACUGCAUGGCUUGAGGGAGACAGGGGUAAGCGGAACUGAUGGUGGAGCGGUGAAAUGCGUUGAUAUCAUCAGGAACACCGGUGGCGAAAGCGGCUUACUGGGUCUCUUCUGACGCUGAGGUACGAAAGCUAGGGUAGCGAACGGG
rnacentral:rRNA from 1 species